AAAAAAUUUCCAGUAAUGCUCCUGGUUGAUGUCUAAAUCUCAGCUCGUACCAGGCUCUUGCUGUAGACUGACAACAAGCUGCUCUUUCGAGAAGGAGGCAUACAGAUGAAAAUGAAAAGAAAACGUCAUCAUGGUCAGCAGAGGCGGCGACAGAGGCAGCGGCAGCAGCAGCGGGAGCAGGAACACCAACUGCAGCAGCAGCGUCAGCAGGAGCAGCAGCAGCAACGCCAGCAGGAACAUCAGCAGCAGCAGCAGCUGCAGCUGCAGCUGCAGCAGCAGUGCCAGCAGCAUCAGCAGCAGUGCCAGCAGGCACAGCUGCAGCAGUGCCAACAGGCACAGCAGCAACAGCAGCAGCGUCAGCAGGAGCAGCAGCAGCAGCAGCAGCAGCAGCAGCAGCAGCAACCACAAAGAAGAAGGAGAAAAAACAGGAGGAGCAGGAGGAGCAGGAAGAGCAAGAAGAGCAAGAGGACAAGGAGGACCAGGAACACCAGGAGGAGGAGAAGGAGAAAUAAUGAGUGAUUGUGUCUACAUUUAUGGAAAGAGUUUGGUGGGGUACUAAUGUUGCAUCUUUGAAGAAAUGGGUACUCAAAGAAAUCCUCAUGUAGAGUCACACUGUGCUGUCAUCUGAGACUUCAAGUUCAUUACUGAAUCCAUGCUUCCUCUUCGCAUCGUGAGAAGAUCACUACAGAAGCAUAUCACCACACUUAGCUAGUGGUAUUGUAAAAUCUCUUCAUCAAUGACUUUCAUUUUUGCUUGCUUG
rnacentral:lncRNA from 1 species